GUCCCUGUAGCGCAAUGAUAGUGCUUUGGAAUACUAAUUCAAAGGUCGUGGGCUCGAAUCCCACCUGGGAUG